rnacentral:rRNA from 1 species
UACAGAGGUGCCAAGCGUUAGGCGGAAUCACUGGGCUUAAAGCGCGUGUAGGCGGGUCGUUAAGUGUCCGAGUGAAAUCCCACGGCUCAACCGUGGAACUGCCGGGCAUACUGGCGAUCUUGAGGCAUUCAGGGGCGAGCGGAACAAAUGGUGGAGCGGUGAAAUGCGUAGAUAUCAUUUAGAACGCCAAUGGUGAACACAGCUCGCUGGGAAUGAUCUGACGCUGAGACGCGAAAGCCAGGGGAGCGAACGGG